rnacentral:rRNA from 1 species
AUUGAACGCUGGCGGCAGGCCUAACACAUGCAAGUCGAGCGGAUGAAGGGAGCUUGCUCCUGGAUUCAGCGGCGGACGGGUGAGUAAUGCCUAGGAAUCUGCCUGGUAGUGGGGGAUAACGUCCGGAAACGGGCGCUAAUACCGCAUACGUCCUGAGGGAGAAAGUGGGGGAUCUUCGGACCUCACGCGAUCAGAUGAGCCUAGGUCGGAUUAGCUAGUUGGUGGGGUAAAGGCCUACCAAGGCGACGAUCCGUAACUGGUCUGAGAGGCUGAUCAGUCACACUGGAACUGAGACACGGUCCAGACUCCUACGGGAGGCAGCAGUGGGGAAUAUUGGACAAUGGGCGAAAGCCUGAUACAGCCAUGCCGCGUGUGUGAAGAAGGUCUUCGGAUUGUAAAGCACUUUAAGUUGGGAGGAAGGGCAGUAAGUUAAUACCUUGCUGUUUUGACGUUACCAACAGAAUAAGCACCGGCUAACUUCGUG